UCAUUUACACGUGAGUCUCAAUAUAACCAUUAAAAAUAUCUCACAAGAGUAAGGUUAUCGACAUUUCUCUAAUCUCUACUAUUUCGCGGACCACGGUGUUGGUGACUGAACCAUAUAAAUUAUAUUCUGAUGUUUUAUGAAGGCGGUAAAUAAACUUCACUGGUGCUUUAUCGCCACCCUGGACUGGAGUAAAACAGGGUACUUUUGUUUUCUUAUCUACACGGACAACAGCUUUUUAUGUUAUUUGAAGAAUCUAAAAUGACUGCUGUGCAUUUUUCACUACAUUGAAUAAGAAAUAGAGAAUGGUUGUGAUUUGGCCACUUUGAUUUUGAAGUACAUUUCAUGAAUCGGAAAUAAAAUACCGUGCGAAUUGGCCCGAGUAAUGUAGUAGCGAAUAACUACUGUUGUCAAAGCUGGAAGUUUAUUAGCUAGCAUAGGCUAGGCUGGCAGCCGGCUGAAAAGAUGGCGGAACUGGAAGUUGAUGUGGUGCGUAAAGAUAAUGGUGGGGAAUCAAGGAUAAUUGGAAUAUAGGAAACGUAGAAAAGCAGCAUAAAGUGAUGGAAAUGCCCCUUCUUAUCUUAUAGGAGUAGGAGUUUUACGAGAGGCGGGCUUGCUUUGACAUUUAGUUCUUUUGGAUCAGAAGGAUCUCAAGGUGGUAAUUUCUGGCGUUUCGUGGGAAGUCGAUACUGCAGAGAUUUAAAAUAUUCCUGGAGUGAUUGAUGCUUGUCGGAUGAAUCGUGGGGUGAAUGAAGAAAAAGUUAUCUGUUCUUUUGUUUUUUGAUAUGGUCUCUCCUUACUCCAGUGCAGUUGGGAUAUAUAAACUACAAAAUCAGAGCAUUGGUUCCAAGACUAAUGCAGUGUGACCACUGUAAAACGUUUGGACAUGUUUCAAGAGUUUGCAGAAGGGAGAAGCGGAGAUGUCACAUUUUCAAAACAUAUGAUAUUAUCUUUUCCACAACUUGGACAUGUUGUAAUUGCGGUGGGAACCAUGAAGCCACGUAUUUGGAAUUCCCCACAAGGGUGAAAGAAUGAGGUGGCCAAAGUCAUGGCUGUCCAGAGUUUUUCAUUUGCAGCAGCUGUUAUAAGGGUUGAGAGUUUGAGUGGGCUUGAGGAUCUCCUGAGCAUCGAGCCUGCAUUCAGUGAGUUCCAGAAGACCCUCUUCAGCCAAGCCUCGGUGGGCCUGGAGCGCGGUGUCCAGUCCAAUGAGGUCAACGAGAAACCGGACACAGGCAUCUUACUGUUUCUCGCAAGGCCGUCUCCACACUUCCUGCUCAAGCCUGUACAGAAGUGCAUAGAGUGGCUUAUACACAGCCCCCCCCAUGGAUAACUUGUCAGAGGGGUUGUUUUUAGUACUUCUGAGAACUGAAGUUGUCUCACUGCUAUGAAAGCUUAAUGUAAACUGAAAAUAGCUUGACAUUUUGUCUACUGGUAUUUCUUUCCUGUAGCCCUCACAGAUUCCACUUCCACCUGUAUAAUGGGGAGAGCCUGCUUUCCUGUGUGUUGCCCUUUAUACGAGACUAAGGUGUAUGUAAGUCAUUCAGUUAAAGGACCCCACUAACCUAUGGAAUUGGCUGGUGGGCUUCAGGUAAUUGUUAUAUGAUUUAUGAACAUAACUAUUGGAAGUUGACAGAUGUAUUAUUUUUCAUUACAUGAUCAGCAUGUCAUCAAUGGCUCCAUUGGUAGAGCAUGACGCUUGCAACGUCAGGAUUAUGGGCUCGAUACCCGGGACCACCCAAACGUAAAAUGUAUACACUUAUGACUAUGUCCCUGUGGAUAAAGGCGUCUGCUAAAUGGCAUAUAAUAUAUUAUCAAUGAUCAAUAUAUUUAGAUUUCCUGACAGAAACCAGGAGUUCCCUUUGGCCAGAGGAACCCUAAUCACUGACUGUUACAAAGACUUGGGCUUCAUGGGUUUCAUCUACACCCUGGUCACUAAGUCAAUCAAGACUACAAGGAUUCCACCUACAUGAAAGUGUGCCAGCUGGUUGUGAAGGUGGUCGAUGAAGUCCCAGCUGGUGGACACCCUGGCCCUGCAGAUCAGCAAGUCACGGCAAGGAGCCCCUGCUGCCCAAAGUGGGCCUGGGCUGCCUCAUCGUCCUCCUGCAGAACCAAAAUGAGGGCAUUGUUGGCCCAAAAACCUCUGGCCAGAUGUGUGCUGUGACUUCUUUGGUCCCCACCCUCCAGGCCACGGCAUCAGGCCCUUACUCUGCUACCUGGUUCACGCCGUUGUCUCCUCCAGCACUG